rnacentral:rRNA from 1 species
GACGAACGCUGGCGGCGUGCUUAACACAUGCAAGUCGAACGGAAAGGCCCUGCUUUUGUGGGGUGCUCGAGUGGCGAACGGGUGAGUAACACGUGAGUAACCUGCCCUUGACUUUGGGAUAACUUCAGGAAACUGGGGCUAAUACCGGAUAGGAGCUCCUGCUGCAUGGUGGGGUUGGAAAGUUUCGGCGGUUGGGGAUGGACUCGCGGCUUAUCAGCUUGUUGGUGGGGUAGUGGCUUACCAAGGCUUUGACGGGUAGCCGGCCUGAGAGGGUGACCGGCCACAUUGGGACUGAGAUACGGCCCAGACUCCUACGGGAGGCAGCAGUGGGGAAUAUUGCACAAUGGGCGGAAGCCUGAUGCAGCAACGCCGCGUGCGGGAUGACGGCCUUCGGGUUGUAAACCGCUUUCGCCUGUGACAAAGCGUGAGUGACGGUAAUGGGUAAAGAAGCACCGGCUAACUACGUG